rnacentral:lncRNA from 1 species
GAGCUGCCCACACGGUGUGUACAGGAGGUGAGCUGAUCACUAGGCCACAGGCGGCUGAGGGUGGCAGCCACUGAGUGGGACAGGAAUAAGUGACCAGCAACUGCAGUAGUCAGGAACGUUUGGCCAGGGCCUGCCUUUGACUGAGGAAGGAGGCAGAUGCCGAGUGUCCAGCAGUUUGGGAGCAAGGAGCGUCCCUUCUCCUCCUCCCCUCCCUGCCCCUUCCGUCCUGGGCGAUGCAGUAGCCUGUGAGCAGCACAGGAAAUGCACACGGAGGAGCUCAGGACGUCCAGGAGGACCUCGAGGAGUAGCCAUGGAGAGGAUGUUUGCACCCGAGUCUGCAGUCGGCCAGGGUGCGGCCCUGCCCUGGAAGGAAGGCUGGACCCCUGACGCAGUGGUGGCUUCAGGGCCUGGUGAGGGUCACUUCCAGGCUGGUUAGACCUGCAGCCUUCCCCAGCGGUGUGCUCAGGCAGCGUCUCUGGGCUGUCACAAACGGAAAGGUGCUGAGGGCGCGUCUGUCUGUGGCUCUAAACACUGGCUUCCACCUGCUGGCCUCCGCAUCCCCCCCGCCGGCCGCCUGGAGCUCGUUCUGUGAAGCUGGUUGUGUGUGAAUUAGUGGAACUCUUGCACGUUCCUUGUGUCAUUUUGUCCUUGGCGUUGCGUUCGCCUCGUGCGCCAGCUGCAGACCCUCUCAGGACCGCCCCAGGAAAUGCUGGCAGCUAGUGAGUGAGUAUCUUCAGGCAGCCUCAAGCUGUGCAAGGUGAUUUUACCAGCGGCAGCCUCGUGUCCAUGCUCUGAACACGUCGGAGGUGUUUGGAAAACCUCAGCCGAAGCAGAGAGGUGGCCGUUACUGCUUGUGCCUUCAAUCCGCCACGUGAAGUAAUGUGUGAGGACUUCAUCACAGUAUCCCGUGUGUCUCAUGUCGUGUGUGUGUGACUUUUCAAUGUUUUAGUAAAAAUACUAUGCUGGAAUCCUAAAAAGAAUGCAGGGUUCUCUUUCUUUAUGCUCACGAAUAGGAAAUGUUAGUCACAUUGUGAAGACUGGUGCACCAACAUGUUGAAGUAGUGAAUUUGUGAUUUUUCUGAGCCUGGAAAUUUGGAGGUGGGUGCACUGGUUUUUGAUAGAUAUCUCAAUUUCUUCUGCAGUUAAUAAUAUUCUGCUUAAAUUUCUGUCCCUUUUUGGUCAGUUGGGGCAAUUUUGCCUGGGAUAAUCACCCAUAUUAGUUAGAAUUUAAAGUAUUUGCAUGGAAUUUGUAAGCUGGCGCUUGUGUGUGCUUCUCCAUUGUAACUGUUUCCCUUGUUGUUAAACUUGUGAGCAUGUGUGUGUCAUAUGUCCCCAUGCGUGCAUGUGUGUGUCAUGCGUGCAUGUGUGUGGCAUGCCAUCCCUGUGUUUCCUGAAUUAGAGUUCCCUGAAUUAGAGGCUUAUUCACUGAAGAAUUUCAAAGACCCACCACGCUUUUGAUUCUACUGUUUCAAAUCAUACACUUUUCCCAUUUUAUUGUCUUCUUCUUGGUCCUUACAUUUAUCCUGUUCUUUUUAUUUUCUUGAGUCUAAUUUGUGAGUUGAAUGAAUAAUUUACUUGUUUGUAUUUAGUUGUGACUGGUAUAAUUGCUAUCACUGUGAAUUUUUCUCUGGGACGGUUUUAGUCACAUCAUUUGGGUUCUGAUAGAUCCUAUUCCGUAAUUGCUCUUUGUGAUGAUUCUGAAAUUUGGACUCUGUUGUCCCACUUUACCCAAGAAUUGUUCAAGAGGG